rnacentral:rRNA from 1 species
GUACCUUCGGGUGCGAGUAGAGCGGCGGACGGGUGAGUAACGCGUAGGAGUCUACCUAGUAGAAGGGGAUAGCCCGGGGAAACUCGGAUUAAUACCGUAUACCUCCUCAGGGAGAAAGAGGGCUUAGCUUUGAUGCUCUCGCUAUUAGAUGAGCCUGCGUAAGAUUAGCUUGUUGGUGAGGUAAUGGCUCACCAAGGCGACGAUCUUUAGCUGGUCUGAGAGGACGAUCAGCCACAUUGGGACUGAGACACGGCCCAGACUCCUACGGGAGGCAGCAGUGGGGAAUAUUGGACAAUGGGCGCAAGCCUGAUCCAGCCAUACCGCGUGUGUGAAGAAGGCUUUCGGGUUGUAAAGCACUUUAAGUAAGGAGAAAAAGAUUGUAGUUAAUACCUGCAAUCCGUGAUGUUACUUACAGAAUAAGGACCGGCUAAUUCCGUGCCAGCAGCCGCGGUAAUACGGAAGGUCCAAGCGUUAAUCGGAAUUACUGGGCGUAAAGCGCGCGUAGGUGGUUUUUUAAGUUGGAUGUGAAAGCCCUGGGCUCAACCUAGGAACUGCAUCCAAAACUAGAUGACUAGAGUACGAAAGAGGGAGGUAGAAUUCACAGUGUAGCGGUGGAAUGCGUAGAUAUUGUGAAGAAUACCAAUGGCGAAGGCAGCCUCCUGGUUCUGUACUGACACUAAGGUGCGAAAGCGUGGGGUAGUGAACAGGAUUAGAUACCCUGGUAGUCCACGCCGUAAACGAUGACAACUAGCUGUUGGGAGACAAGAUCUCUCAGUGGCGCAGCUAACGCUUUAAGUUGUCCGCCUGGGG